CAACAGAGCCGAUGUUACAUGAUCAAUUCAUCAAAAUCAAUUUUUAGUUUUCCGAACAAUACACUUGAAAGAAGAAUAUUCAUCUACAAUAUUUUAUUUACAUUGCGCUCGUAAAUAAAAUAUUGUAGAUGAAUAUUCAAGCGUGCAAACCUUCCUUACCUGGUGUGUAAAGGGAAAAUUGUAAUGAAAAGUGUGUGAGUGUUUAUGAAUCAUUUGCCAUGAUUAACCCUUUUUUGUCAUGUUUUUUUUUGUUUUCAAUAUUUGUAUGCUUUGUAAGCGGCCCAUACAUUUACUGCCAAACUGCUGCUGUCGAUGAACCCUUUGUGUGCGUGUGUGAUUAAAUAAUGUCUGGCGCUCCUUCAAUUCAAAAUAAUUAGAUUUUGUUUCAAUUUUUGGUGUUCGGACUUUUUAUUUUCAUAAAUUGAUUAUUAAAAGAUUUGAAAAUUAAUACAAUUCAUUGGAUUGAAAUGAUUUUAGUUCUAUACACAAGGGCGGCCGAGGCGGUUAAUGUUGAAGAGGGGGGACAGCUUGAAAAUUUUAGAAAAAAAACUCAAAAUGUAGCCUGCAAUUCUGGUAUUUAAAGACAGUCUGACAUUUAAGGACAGCCCUAUGUAUAUUCUCCGAAGUGACAAACUAACACUAUGUGGUGUAGGGUAUAAAUAGUUUAAGUAGAUAUAAAGCGGCACACAUCACAUUACACGAUGAAAAUAGGUAAAAUUUUUCAUUUAUUGCAGUGUUAGCGUUUUUAUUAUUGAAAAAUAGUUAUGUAUCUUUUUUUAUUAAACAUUUUGGAUUAUUAAAGCCUACUUGCAUCAUAAGUUUACUCUAUUAUAGUGAACAGUACUUUUUUUGGUUUGCGUUCCAUAUUUUAUUAACGUACUUUAUGUGUCCUCUUUUUAUUGAUGGUUCUCGUUGUCCACUAUGUUGAUUUGUUUAAAGUCAUAGAAGCGCAGGUGAGUUUUUAAAUGAAGAAAAUCGUUAAGACAGUAAGUAGUAAUUUCGGCCGUGCCGAACUAUUUAUACCAUUAACCACUAUGUUUAUCAAUGUUGAUUGUGGCAGAAACUUUCAAAAUACCGAAAUUCGGGAGAUACCGAUGUAUGGGGGCUAUACGGAAACGGGGACCAGCAUAGGCAAUUUUCUACAUAGGCUGUAAUACCCAUUUCGGACUUCAAAUACGAAAUUUGGAACAGUUCCGGUUAAUAAUGUCGCUAAAAUCAUCAAAAUACCGAAUAUCGGGAUGUACCGUUAUAUGGGUGCUAUACGAAGCCGUGGACCUGAAUGUGUAAUUUUGUGUCAUAUGCUGUAUAACCUAUUCCGAACUUCAUAUACGAAAUUUGGAACAGUUCCGGUUAAUAAGUAAUCAUCGAAAUACCGAAUAUUGGGAGGUACAGUUAUAUGGGAGCUAUACGAAAACGUGGGCCGACAUGGCCCAUUUACGAACUUAACAUGCCUACUGACAAAAUAAACAUGUGUGCAAAAUUUUAGCCUUCUAUCUCAUUUCGUUCGAAUGAUAGCGUAAUUACAACAGACAGACAGAUGGACAUCGAUAAAUCGACUUAGAAUUUUACGCUGAUCCAAAAUAUAUAUACUUUGUGGGGUCUAACAUGAGAAUUUCGAGGAGUUACAAACGGAAUGACAAACUUAAUAUACCCUCCAUAGUAUGGCGGAGGGUAUAAAAACACUUUCUAUUAAAGUUUCGAUUUUAACACUUAGGCAGAAAAGGAAACUUGUUGAACUAAGUUUUAAUAACAGCAGCAUUUGGGGUAAUUGGGACCAGGCAAGGCUAAAUUCAAUCAAACAAAAUAAUGCACAUAUAAGUGCAUUCACUUUUAUGAUCAGUGCACACGAUCCAUAUAUAGGCCGACUCUUAUCGCGGAGUUCGUACGGCGCGACAUUCAAAACCUCAUAGAGAGAGGUUUGUGAUAUUCUGGUCAGGAAUUUAAAUCCGUGCCAGACAGGUAGGCUUUCCACUAUUCCAAAUAAUUUACAUUUAUUUUUGUCCUACAUGGGGUCACAACUUUUGAGUCGAUGUCUAAAUGUACUCUAUUUUCAACCAAAAAUGUUGGUCACCGUAAGAAUAGAUGAAAUAACCAUAUACAUUUUUAAAAACAACACAAAAAUUUUUGGUUUUAUUUUACUAAUAAAUAUUCAUAAAAUAUUAUUACUGUUUUUAAAACAUAAUUUGGAUGUUAUUGAAAAAUUGAUCAAAACACACAUUAAUGAAGUGUUCCUUAAAUUCCGUACAAGGUGUAGGUAGUUUUUAACAAAUAUAAAAAACCUGCAAAAGAAAAAUGCUUAAUAUUUGCAAACGAUGAUCUACGAACAUGCACUUAAACUUUCCAUUUGAAUUUCGAUGAACUGGGCCUCCUGGCAUUUGAUUUUAUUUUACUCCUCAGGUAAGCAAGAUUUUCAUUGUGAAAAACACUGUAAAUGGUCAAUAUUUUUCAAACGUUAUCCAUUUACGUAUAUUUUGUUCCAAUGUUUUGUUUAUUACUUCGCGCCCUUUCAAAUAAAAUUAUUGUAUAGGGAGCAAUAAAUUGAUUUUGUUCUCUUCUUUUGCUAUUUAUCGAUUCGAUUUUGAGAUUGUAUCGACUUUCGACACAACAUUAUGUAACCGCGGCCCUGCAUCAAACAUACAAACGGUGAUCGUUGAUGUCAUUGGUCGUGCUACAUUAUGUCGAAAAUAUAUUUACAUAUCCCUGUUACUCAAAAUCGAAUUAAAUAGCAAAACAAAGAACAAAAUCAAUUUCGUGUUCCCUAUACAAUAAUUUUAUUUUAACAUUAGAACAAAAUCAACGUAAAUGGAUAAUGUUUGGAAAAUAUUGACCAUUUGCAGUGUUUCUCACAAUGGAAAUCUUGCUUACCUGAGGAGUAAAAUGAAAUCAAAUGCCAGGAAGCUCAGUUCAUCAAAAUUCAAUGGAAAGUAUUUUUUCAUGUUUAAAAAACUACCUACAAUUGUGCGGAAUUUAAGAAACACUUCGCUUGGAGUACCUGAAAUCAUUGGAUCAAAAGAAGAAAAUCAUGGAAAUGACGAGUGCCCAUAUGCUGCUUGUCUUCAAGAGUUUAUUGAAAUUCAUGAUUUGAGUACAAACUUUUUUGCUUUUUGCGUAUUAAUGUGUCUUUUGAUCAAUUUAUCAAUAACAUCCAAAUUAUGUUAUAAAACAGUGAUAAAAAAUUUUGGAUUAUUGUUCUUAAAAGAAACAAAAAACUGUUGUGUUGUUCUUAAAAAUGCAUAUGGUUAUUUCCCAUAUACUUUCGGUGACCAAUAAUUUUGGUUGAAAAUAGAGUACAUCGGCUGAAAAGUUGCGACCCCAUAUAGGACAAAAAUAAAUGUAAAUUAUUUGGAGCUACACUUGAAUAGUGGAAACCCACCUGUCUAACACCCAAAAAAUCUUUAUUUAAAUUCCUGACCAGAAUAUCACAAACCGGGUGCCCUGCUCAUAAGUCUUAUUUAUGUCUUUGUGUUUGCGGGAGUCCAUGCACUUAUAUAUGCAUUAUUAUACCCUCCACCAUACAUAGUAUGGAGGGUAUAUUAAGUUUGUCAUUCCGUUUGUAACACCUCGAAAUAUACAUUUUAGACCCCACAAAGUAUAUAUAUUCUUGAUCAGCGUAAAAUUCUAUGUCGAUUUAUCGAUGUCCGUCUGUCUGUGGAAAUCACUCUAGAUUCCGAACGAAAUGACAUAGGUUGAUGAAAUUUUGCUCAGAUGUAUAUAAUGUGUGCAGGACUUUUGGUAUUGAAAAUGGGCCAUAUAGAUCGACGUCUUCGUAUAGCCCCCAUAUAACGGUACCUCCCGAUAUUCGGUAUUUUGAUGAUUUUAGCAACAUUUUUCACCGGAAUUGUUUCAAAUUUCGUAUUUAAUUUUAGCAAUGAGUACUACAACCUAUGCCAGUAAAAUAUCUACGCAGAUCCACAUCUUCGGAUAGCCCUUAUAUAAAGGUACCUCCCGAUAUUCGGUAUUUUGAUGAUUUUAGCGACAUUUUUCACCGGAAUUGUUUCAAAUUUCGUAUUUAAUUUUCGCAAUGGGUACUACAACCUAUGACAGAAAAUGGCCUAUGUAGGUCCACAUCUUCGGAUAGCCCCCAUAUAACGGUACCUCCCGAUGUUCGGUAUUUUGGUGAUUUUAGCGACAUUUUUCACCGGAAUUGUUUCAAAUUUCGCAUUUAAUAUUCGCAAUGGGUACUACAACCUAUGCCAGUAAAAUAUCUACGCAGAUCCACAUCUUCGGAUAGCCCACAUAUAACGGUACCUCCCGAUAUUUGGUAUUUUGAUGAUUUUAGCGACAUUUUUCACCGGAAUUGUUUCAAAUUUCGCAUUUAAUAUUCGCAAUGGGUACUACAACCUAUGACAGAAAAAUAUCUAUGCAGGUCCACAUCUUCGCUUAGCCCCCAUAUAACGGUAUCUCCCGAUAUUCAGUAUUUUUAUACCCUCCACCAUACAUAGUAUGGAGGGUAUAUUAAAUUUUUCAUUCCGUUUGUAACACCUCGAAAUAUACAUUUUAGACCCCUCAAAGUAUAUAUAUUCUUGAUCAGCGUAAAAUUCUAUGUCGAUUUAUCGAUUUCCGUCCGUCUGUCCGUCUGUGAAAAUCACUCUAGCCACCGAACGAAAUGACAUAGGUUGAUGAAAUUUUGCUCAGAUGUAUAUAAUGUGUGCAGGACUUUUGGUAUUGAAAAGGGGUCAUAUAGGUCGACGUCUUCGUAUAGCCCCCAUAUAACGGUACCUCCCGAUAGUCGGUAUUUUGAUGAUUUUAGCAACAUUUUUCACCGGAAUUGUUUCAAAUUUCGUCUUUAAUUUUCGCAAUGGGUACUACAACCUAUGACAGAAAAUUGCCUAUGUAGGUCCACAUUUUCGGAUAGCCCCCACAGAACGGUACCUCCCGAUGUUCGGUAUUUUGGUGAUUUUAGCGACAUUUUUACCGGAUUUGUUUCAAAUUUCGCAUUUAAUAUUCGCAAUGGGUACUACAACCUAUGCCAGUAAAAUAUCUACGCAGAUCCACAUCUUCGGAUAGCCCCCAUAUAACGGUACCUCCCGAUAUUCGGUAUUUUGAUGAUUUUAGCGACAUUUUCGCCAGAAUUGUUUCAAAUUUCGCAUUUAAUAUUCGCAAUGGGUACUACAACCUAUCUAUGCAGGUCCACAUCUUCGCUUAGCCCCCAUAUAACGGUAUCUCCCGAUAUUCAGUAUUUUUUUCAUUUUAGCUUUAUUUUUCGACGGAUUUUUUAAAAUUUCAAAUUCCUUCUAAAUGAUGGAGGGUAUUAAAAGUUCGGCCCGGCCGAAAUUGGCUGCUUAUUUACUUGUUUUGUGUAAAUAAAUUCAGCCUUUCCUGGUCCAAACUACCCCAAAUGCUGCUGUUAUUAAAAUUUAGUUCAACAAGAUUCCUUUUCUGCCUAAGUGUUAAAACCGAAAUUUUAAUAGAAUGUGUUUAUACCCUACACCACAUAGUGGUAAGGGUAUUAUGUAUUUGUGAAUUUGUUUGUAACAGAGAGAAAUAAGCGAGAUAGACCCAUGGUUACUUUUGAAGAUAUUCAUAGAAUCAUUUUUUAAUCGAUUUAUGCAUGUCCGUCCAUGUAUUCUUGUGAACAAAAUGCAGGUCGUAUUUAUUAUCCGAUUGAGAUGUAAUUUUGCAAACAAUGUUUGUUUGGUUUGGAUCAGAUUAGAUAUAGCUCCCAUAUAUAUCUUCAUCCGAUUUUUGGUUUAUUGUGCACAACCUGUGCAAUAAUACCCCAAAUGGGAUGAAAUUUGGCAAAUGUAGCCGAUGUACACCAAGAAUUAACUCUGCGGGAUAUGGUGAAAAUCGGAUGUGAUUUAGAUAUAGCUCCCACAUAUAUCUUGAUCCGAUUUUUGGUUUAUUGUGCACAGCCUGUGCAAUAUCAGCCCAAAGGGGAUGAACUUUAGCACAUGUAGUCGGUGUACACCAAGAAUUAACUCUAUAAAAUUUGGUGAAAAUCGGAUCUGAUUCAGAUAUAGCUCCCAUAUAUAACUUCAUCCGAGUUUUGAUGCAUUGUGCACCAAAUGUGCAAAUUAGCCCAAAAGGCAUGAAAUUUGACACAUAAGGUCGAGUGAAGGCUAUAAAAACCCAAUGCAAUUUUGUGCACAUAACAGCAGUGGUGUAGGGUGUCAUAUAGUCGGCUCCGUCCGGGUUGAUGUUGGGCUGUAGGUGAGUUCUAAGGCUGGAUUUUUUGACGUUUGGAAGGGUACGAAAAGCAACCGAGAAGAGCUACAGCUCUGCAAUUUGGAUUCAGCGUCACCGAUGGUGUGUAGGAUAGAUGUGACAAAUCGUUUUUGGAAAUUUGUACCAAAAGGGUACGAAAACUUCUAAUAUGUACUUUAAAUGUUACUAUUCGUAUGUUAUGAAUGAAUGGACCUAGAAUCGUCGAAUUUGGUAUGAGAAUCAAUAAUGGCAAGCUCUCUAUAGUUAUAUAAAGAAGUUUUGGAAAACGAGAGCAAUAAGUGUUGGAAUACUUCUAAAUAGGAUAUAAUUGUUGAGUAGAGAAAGGUGGGUGGAUAUAUGGAGAUGUUUUAAAAAACGAGUACCAUAAUUGACAAAAAAGUACUUAAUAAUGUACAAUUCGAACGUAAAUAUAAUGAGUAGAGGUGGAAAUUGGUAAUUUUGUGUUAGGGUGGAAAGGUAGAGAUGCAAAUCGAAAUGUUGUGUUAGAUGGAUAUAUGGAAAUGUUUUGAAAAAAGGGUACCAUUACUGUUGGAAAAGUACUAUAUAAGGUAUAAUUUAAUAGUAAAUGAAGGAGUAGUGUUGAAAAUCCGAAAGUAUAUGGACUUAGCCAUAUUGGGUGACUACAAAUCGCAUUUUUUUCUGACGUGGGAAUAUAUUUAGGGAAUAAUAGAUUGGGUGGUCUAAUCCCAUUUUUGAUGGCGAAUUCAGAAAUCUCACACCUCCAAAUGGGACAACAGUGGACCCAAAAGUAUAUGGACUUAGCCAUAUUGGGUGAAAAUGAAUUCAAAUCGGAAUUUUUUACUUUUGCUUAAUUCAGAGUUCCGAUUUGCUUGCGAGCGAUUAUUACUCGCUCGAGGAAGCGAUCAAAAAGUGAGAGCGAUUGCUCCAGUUUCGCUUUCCGAUCGAAUUCGUGCAAGAAACACAGAGUAUGUUUAAGCUCUGCUUAGCAUAUUUUAUCGUUAAAUUAUUUUUUGUAAAGGAAGAAAAGAUUGAAGACGCGUAUUUGAAAAUGAAUCUAUAAUAAUUAUUAGUCCCAAUUUUUUUUACUUUAAUUUUACGUAUUCUUCAAUAGAUGUAAAAUAACCCUCUCUAUAAAACAAAACUUAAAACUUUUAUUUUAUUAGUUAAUUUUUUAAAAUUUCGUUGAAAGUUUUUUUUUAGUUCAACAUGUUUUCCCUAGUAAAGUUUGACAAUGACGGUGACUUCUAUGUUGUCAAAACAAAAGACGUGAAGCAUCACAAUUCCGACAAUUGUAUUGUAAAGUAUAAAGGCUGUUCGUACUCCGCAAUUUUCAUUAAAGCUGACGAUAAUAAAGAAAAUCUUGAAGAGAAGAAACAAAGUGAGAAUUUAAUGGGGACAAUAAACGCGGAGAAUCAAGAAACACAAAUAGCACCAAGAAUUCCUGCGAGCCGUGGUCGUGCUUAUCAAAAUAUUUCACCGUCGACAAUGUUAUACAUGAAAGAGUAUAUAAAAAAUCUACCUCCACUAGGAUCAAACAGAUCAGAUAAAGAGCCUAUGUCUUCAGUCACUAUACAUGGUGAAAAUAACGCAUCGGAUUCGGAAGAGAAUAAUACGACAGAUUUUUCAUCUUUUGAAACUAUAUCAAGAGGACAAUUUGAUUUAUCAAGAUUAUUUAAAUUCUCCUUGAUCACAUAUGACGAUUCAGAAUUUUGUGUAGUAAAUUCCAAAUCUAUAACACAAAUCCAAGGAGGUACGUGUGUGGUGAAAUGUAAAGGCGGAAAAUAAAUAAAACAGCUAUUGAAGAUAGAGAAAACAAAAAAGAUCUAAGAAGGAAGAUUUGCCAAAAAAAAAAGAUAUCAAACAACUUUAUGAUUUUCUAAGAACCAAAAUGGUAUAUUCUAUAGCUACAUUAACUAAACAAUUUAUCUUUGAUGAUUGGAAAAAUCUUUUGGAAACUACUCUAAUAUGUCUACAAGUGUUCAAUCGACGACGAGCCGGUGAGAUCGAGAGAAUAACUAUUGAAAACUACAAUAAGAAGGAAACUAUUACUGACAAUAUAGAAGCUGGAUUUAUUGAUAAUAUUUCUAACCAAUCUUUUGAAUUCGCUAAACAGUAUGUAAGAAUUACCCUAAGCGGCAAAUUAGGACGUACUGUCAGCAUAUUGCUGGAUCCUUUAAGUAGAAAGGCAGUUGACCUUAUAUUAAAGCAUCGCAACAGUGCCGGAAUCCCGAAAUCAAAUCACUAUAUUUUCUCGGCUCCCGGAUCAUCAGGAAUAUCAAAAAAUAUAUAAGAGCUUGCCCGUUAUUACGCAAGUUUGCCUUAGAGUGUGGGGCUACUAUUCCUCACACAUUAAGAGGAAAUAAAUUAAGGAAGCAUAUAGCAACGUAUACAGCUUUGCUAAACGUUGAAGAAGCCACAGUGGAUAAGCUAGCAAAUUUUCUUGGGCACCAUAAGGAUAUACACAAAAGUAUUUAUAGAGUAUCGGUACCAAUGGCGGAAAUCACCACAGUGUCCAAGAUUUUGCUGUCAGCUGCUGGUUGUAGGAAUGAGGAAAACUCCGAAAAUAAUAGUUUUGAUAAUCUUCGUGGAAACAUAUCUUCCGAAUCUGAGUCAUCAUCUGAUGAAUCAGAUAAUAUUACAUAUGGCGCAAAUUUGGUAAAAAAGAAAAUUAGUAGUAAGUAUAAUAAGAAGGAAGACUAGUAGUACCUACAAUAAGAAACUUGAUAAUACUUCUUGCGGAAAAACAAAAAAAUGCCGGUGGACAAUCGAUGAGCAAGAAGCUUUGACUGCUGAAUUUGGGGAUAUUUCUUCAAUGGAAAAGUUGCCAUCUUUCAAGGAGUGCAUGAGGGUCGUGUCUGAAAAUGAAGUGCUAUGCUGCAGAACCCCAGCACAAGUAAAAACGUUUAUAGACAACAAAAGGAAAAAAGGCAAAAAAAUUAAGCAAUCUCUUCAACAAUAAUUUUCCAAAACCCUUUUCGGGUAGUUAUUUUACAAUGCAAUGUUGUUAAAUUAAUAUAUACACAAUGUGCACUAAAUCUUGUAUUAAUUUCAUAUUGUAGAUACAAAAUAUUUGACCAACAAUUUUUUCCAUUAGGUCUUGUAGUAAAUUAUUAUACACAUUAUAAUAUAAUUAUAAAUGUAUACUUAUAUAAAAAAAAAUAAGUCAUAUAAUUUAAUACAAACCGCUUUAUUUAUAUACACGAAUAUAAAAACUUCAAAUGUUUAUUUAAAUUAAGAGUGUAAUAAAAUUGCACUAUAACUCUAACUGUAUUAUAAAUAUAUAAAAUAUUUAAUAAUAUCGAAAGAAAACACUUUAUAUAAAUCAUCAUAUGAAUUUUACACGUUUCUUUUAAAUUAAAUUAAUUUGUUUAAAUUUAUGUUUGCAAUAAACAUAGUGUUUAUAUGAACAACUGACAAUUACAAUAUA